rnacentral:rRNA from 1 species
UACGAAGGGUGCAAGCGUUAUUCGGAAUGAUUGGGCGUAAAGGGUGCGCAGGCGGUAUAUUAAGUCAACUGUUAAAUCUCCUGGCUUAACCAGGAACAAGCAGCGGAUACUGAUGUGCUAGAGGAUGGGAGAGAGAAGUGGAAUUCUCGGAGUAGCGGUAAAAUGCGUAGAUCUCGAGAGGAACACCGAUGGCGAAGGCAGCUUCUUGGCCCAUUUCUGACGCUCAUGCACGAAAGCGUGGGGAGCAAACAGG